rnacentral:rRNA from 1 species
GACGAACGCUGGCGGCGUGCUUAACACAUGCAAGUCGAACGGAAAGGCCCUGCUUUUGUGGGGUGCUCGAGUGGCGAACGGGUGAGUAACACGUGAGUAACCUGCCCUUGACUUUGUGAUAACUUCAGGAAACUGGGGCUAAUACCGGAUAGGAGCUCCUGCUGCAUGGUGGGGGUUGGUAAGUUUCGGCGGUUGGGGCUGGACUCGCGGCUUAUCAGCUUGUUGGUGGGGUAGUGGCUUACCAAGGCUUUGACGGGUAGCCGGCCUGAGAGGGUGACCGGCCACAAGAGGACUGAGAUACGGACCAGAAGGCUACGGGAGGCAGCAGGGGGAAGUAUUACACAAAGAGGGGAAGUCAGAUGCAGCAACGCCGCGAGCGGGAUGACGGCCUUCGGGGUGUAAACCGAUUUCGCCUGUGACGAAGCGUGAGUGACGGUAAUGGGUAAAGAAGCAACGGCUAACUACGUG